rnacentral:rRNA from 1 species
GUAGUUUAACUGGGGCGGUUGCCUCCUAAAGAGUAACGGAGGCGCCCAAAGGUUCCCUCAGCCUGGUUGGCAAUCAGGUGUUGAGUGUAAGUGCACAAGGGAGCUUGACUGUGAGACCGACGGGUCGAGCAGGGACGAAAGUCGGGACUAGUGAUCCGGCGGUGGCUUGUGGAAGCGCCGUCGCUCAACGGAUAAAAGGUACCCCGGGGAUAACAGGCUGAUCUUCCCCAAGAGUCCAUAUCGACGGGAUGGUUUGGCACCUCGAUGUCGGCUCGUCGCAUCCUGGGGCUGGAGUCGGUCCCAAGGGUUGGGCUGUUCGCCCAUUAAAGCGGUACGCGAGCUGGGUUUAGAACGUCGUGAGACAGUUCGGUCCCUAUCCGCUGUGCGCGUAGGAGUCUUGAGAAGGGCUGUCCCUAGUACGAGAGGACCGGGACGGACGAACCUCUGGUGUGCCAGUUGUUCUGCCAAGGGCAUGGCUGGUUGGCUACGUUCGGGAGGGAUAACCGCUGAAAGCAUCUAAGCGGGAAGCCUGCUUCGAGAUGAGGACUCCCACCCCCUUGAGGGGUUAAGGCUCCCAGUAGACGACUGGGUUGAUAGGCCGGAUCUGGAAGCACCGUGAGGUGUGGAGGUGACCGGUACUAAUAGGCCGAGGGCUUGUCCUCAGUUG